UACAGAGGUCUCAAGCGUUGUUCGGAUUCAUUGGGCGUAAAGGGUGCGUAGGUGGCGCCGUAAGUCAGGUGUGAAAUUUCGGAGCUUAACUCCGAAACUGCAUUUGAUACUGCGGUGCUUUGAGGACUGGAGAGGAGACUGGAAUUUACGGUGUAGCAGUGAAAUGCGUAGAGAUCGUAAGGAAGACCAGUGGCGAAGGCGGAUCUCUGGACAGUUCCUGACACUGAGGCACGAAGGCCCAGGGGGAGCAAAACGGGG
rnacentral:rRNA from 1 species